CCAGGGGUAACGAUGGUGCUUGCACCAGGCGACGACCGGCGCACGGGUGAGUAACACGUAUGCAACCUGCCUUUAACUGGGGGAUAGCUCCGAGAAAUCGGAAUUAAUACCCCAUAAUAUUUAAGAGUCGCAUGACUUUUAGAUUAAAGCUCCGGCGGUUAAAGAUGGGCAUGCGGGACAUUAGUUUGUUGGUGAGGUAACGGCUCACCAAGACUACGAUGUCUAUGGGGUCUUAAAGGAUGGUCCCACACACUGGUACUGAGACACGGACCAGACUCCUACGGGAGGCAGCAGUGAGGAAUAUUGGGCAAUGGGCGCAAGCCUGACCCAGCCAUACCGCGUGCAGGAUGACUGCCCUAUGGGUUGUAAACUGCUUUUGUACGGGAAGAAAAAGAUCUACGUGUAGAUAACUGACGGUACCGUACGAAUAAGGAUCGGCUAACUCCGUGCCAGCAGCCGCGGUAAUACGGAGGAUCCAGGCGUUAUCCGGAUUUAUUAGGUUUAAAGGGUGCGUAGGCGGAAUUGUAAGUCAGUGGUGAAAUCCUGCAGCUCAACUGUAGAACUGCCAUUGAUACUGCUAUUCUC
rnacentral:rRNA from 1 species